rnacentral:lncRNA from 1 species
GUCCAGAUGUGGUCACGCAGACUAUUAGAGGAUGUGACGAGGAAGGAGAACAAACACCAUUCAUGUUUCGUGAAUGGAUUAUAAAUUCAUAACUUUCCAAAAAAAACACAUGUCUUUGUGUCAUGUGGGAGUUGCUCAGCAGUCUAUUGGUCAUAGUUUUCCUAUUUGAAGCACUACGUUGUUAUAAUCACUUCUGUUGUAACCGUCACCUCUGACAUUUCCAAAAACCUGUUCCGACUCCGAGUUUGUCUACUUUUUGUUUCUGCAGGAUGUGUCACAGCGGUGUCCCACACUGAUACCUCUGUUGUAUUUCAGAUGAGAUGCAAAGUUACUUCCCCACAGUCAAACUCUCCUAAUGAUCUGCGCAAACUCAGCUGCACAUGCAGGCCAGCUGAAACGAGUCGGUUAAACAAAAAACUCGUUAUCUUCAAGUAAUAUCUGACAACCGGAGCAGGCUGGAUGCAGUGUGAGGGUUUUCUUAAGAUUGCAGAUCAGUUUCAGAAAACUGAAAGCGACAACAGGAAACGAGAGAAAGAGCGCCACUGACACAACUGAAAGCUGGCCUGCGUCCAUGAAGCUUCGUCCCCUCCUUGUGGUCUGUGAACUGAGGCGAUGGAGAGCCCGUCGUCCAUAGUGAGGCGGCGAGCCUGGAUCAACAGCAGCCGACAGUGGUCCAAUUUGGAGCUGGACCCCGAGGGGCCGCGGUGCGACCCCCCCUCUGCCUCUAUAGCAGACGACGAUGUCUUUUCUGACGGAUGCUUCACUGGAAAGAUUGAGAACUGGCUCCUGGGUUGUGGGUGAGUCGGCUCGCUUUACUACUCUUGUUUUCUUUUAAUUUUUUUAAUUUGUCUUGUCUUUUUUAGCUCAGGCUCUGAAGGAUAUGGUUUCAGUCAUUGGAAACCGGUUGAACAAACAGUAAAGUAGAAAGUGGAAACUCUCUGAGGUCAGGUGUUCCAGGAAGAUGGCGUGGUAAGGUAGCCACAGUAUUGUUUUUGCCACAAUCCCCUUAAAAGAUGUAUUUUUUACCAGUCCACUUGAAAAAAAAACAAGCUUAUUAUUUAUUUAACACCACACUGUUAGAGUGCUCUGAAUGUAGAUCUACCAGUGAUCAGAUGUCUUUCAAGGCCAAGACAUGUUGCUGACAACAGUUUACAGCAAUGUUGAGAAUGGUAAACAUGUCAACAAGUCCUCGAGGCUGUUUCACCAAGAAAACACACGACUUAAGCCCUUUUUGACUUUUUCAAAACUUCCAUUUUGGUUGGAGUAAGAUUAUUAUAUAACCAGAAGGAAAUAACAGUUCCUUCUUCCUGUUCUGAAACUGGAGGAAGGAGAUCAGCACACACAUUCAGACGCUAUUUAAUGUCUUUUAUUUCAGUCACUGAGAAGGAAGCUGGCAGUUGGGGAUGUAACACAGCGUGUCAGCCUCUAAAAGGCUACUAACACUAAAGAACAAAGUAAAAGGAGGGGUGUGAGGGUUAAUGCAUUCUGAGAACUCAACAUGAAAAUGACCAGAUCAGCUUGGAGGUGUUAAACUUAAUGCUGCUCAGCAUGUCAACUUUUCUACAAGAGGAAGUUGACACACAUCAGCAGCUUGUCGAGAGCUGAACAGGGAGUCGAUGUCACAAGCUCGCACUGUAGCUAGGCUGCUAUCUCGCUACAGAUGAGGCCGUCUACGCAUAUGCAAGGACUUAUUUGACAGAAGAAGCAUGCAAAGAACACUGUGUGUAUUUUCGCAUUAACAUUGGGAUAUCAUUUACAGGACGGAGGCCUGCUCAGAGAAGACCGGUCGGCUGAGUUUCGGUGAGUAUGAACUGGAACAAAGUCAUGAUUAACAAUGUGUCCUUUACAAACAAAACUAACACUUUUAUUUAGUCUUAAACUCUGUCCACACUCGCACAUGCACACACGCACACGCACAUACACACACUCAGUGUUACUGCAAUAAAAACAUACUCAUAGUAAAAGUCCUGCUUUGAAAAUGUCACUUAAAAGUACUAUCAUCAAAGUGUAAAGUAAUACAGCCUGUCAGUGUUAUAUGCUAACAUUGUAUUAUUAUUAUUAUUGUUAUUAUUAUUAUUAUUAUUAGCAUUUUACCGUUGAAGCUGGUCAAGGUGGAGCGUAAUGAUUUAAUGAUUUUAUAUAGGCCUACUGUCGGGUUGUUUAACUAAGCUUGUAUGUUUUGUAUUUAAAAUUGUAUCUGGACUGUAGUGGAGUAGAAGUAUAUAAAGUAACAUUAAAGGUAAAUACAAGUAUUUCAAAUCUAUACUUAAGUAAGAGUAAUUGAGUAAUAUAGUGACUUUCCACUAAUGACACAUACAAGCCUUCAGUUCUUCAGUCAAUCAUGAAGACAUAAUGAAGACAUCACGUCAAACGAAAUGUGAAAUGACUUAAAGCAUCAACUGUGCGUCUUUUCAGAGUCUGUGCUGAAAGCCAGCAAGUUGGACGAUGAGCUCAGUCUUGGUGCUGAUGGUAAGUAAAGAGAGACACACACACACACACACACACACACACACACACACACACACACACACACACACACACACACACACACACACACACACACACACACACACACUUCUUUUUUUCUACUCAAGCUUACGUUUGUUCUAUUUGAAAUAGUGACUCCUUUGUACUGAGUCAGAGAAAUGUCCAAUGUUACGCAGUAGUACUGUACCUCAGCCAAGGAGGAUAUCUUUUGAGAAGGGGAAGUAUAGUUGUCAAAAGUCGCCGAUUGAUAAUCUAUUUCUUGUUUUUAUAUGAAUUGUAACCACUUAUACACAUACAGUAUUAACAUUAGCAAACAAUUAUAACUUUUCAAGGUCAAACCACUAAACAAUGUAAGUAGUAAGGUGUAACAGCAGAGUACAGAAUUGCAUAAUGCCUUCAAUUUGUCACUUAGUGCCUUUCAGUUUAAGAUAUAUCUAGUGGUAACAAAAAACAAACAAUACCUGUAACAUGACACCCCUAUGUACUAAACAUGACAUUUAAAUCCAUCAUUUAGAUUUGAAUCCCACAUUCAAAUGCACGUCAACUUAUUCCUUAUUUAUUUUAAAAUGAGUUCUUUUUUUGUUUUCAGCUUCUUUGUUAAAUGUUGGAGAGAUUACAUCUAAAGCUGGGUGAGUAGCAAAUGUAAUCUCACAGUGGCAGUAACAAUGAACUAACACGAAACGAGGAAUGUCAAGCUAUUGGUGAAUAUUAGUUCAUAUGAAUCCAUGUUGCUUUAAUCAUUAUACUGACAGAGGUCAUUCUGUAUUUAAAAAAAAACAACUCAAUUCCCUUUUUUUCCCACACAAUGAGCUACACUUCCAGUCCUACACACAUGUUUAUCUCCCCCACCCCACCACACUUACAGCCGAGUCUCUGCGAUGAUAUUUGUAGAGUCUAGGUUACACCCCUGCAUGCUGAGGCUGUUUCUAUUGAAAUUAUUCAGAGGUGUAAAUGAGAUGGUGCUAAUUUAUCACUAAAAUAUGGUCCAUUAUACGGACACUUG